GUUAUUUUGGCAGAAUAGUGCAAUAAAUUUAGAAUUUAUUUAAGUGAAUUUAAUUUACAAAUAAUA
rnacentral:tRNA from 1 species